AGAACGAACGCUGGCGGCGUGGAUAAGGACAUGCAAGUCGAACGCUGACAUUUAGGUAGCAAUAUUCGAAUGUCGGAGUGGCGCAAGGGUGCGUAACACGUGGGUAAUUUGCCGUGAAGUUUGGGAUAACUUGCUGAAAGGCGAGCUAAUACCGGAUGUGAAUUGUUGAAGGCAUCUUCGAAAAUUCAAAGUUGGGGACCGCAAGGCCUGACGCUUUACGAUAAGCCCGCGGCCUAUCAGCUAGUUGGUGCGGUAACGGCUCACCAAGGCUAAGACGGGUAGCUGGUCUGAGAGGACGACCAGCCUCACUGGAACUGAGACACGGUCCAGACACCUACGGGUGGCAGCAGUGGGGAAUUUUGCGCAAUGGGGGAAACCCUGACGCAGCAACGCCGCGUGGAGGAUGAAGCCCCUUGGGCGUAAACUCCUUUCGAUCGGGAAGAUAAUGACGGUACCGGAAGAAGAAGCCCCGGCUAACUCGUGCCAGCAGCCGC
rnacentral:rRNA from 1 species